rnacentral:rRNA from 1 species
GUGGGUAUCAAAACAGGAUUAGAUACCCUGAUAGUCCACGCAGUAAACGAUGAUUACUAGGAGUUUGCGAUAUACCGUCAAGCUUCCGCAGCGGAAGCGUUAAGUAAUCCACCUGGGGAGUACGCCGGCAACGGUGAAACUCAAAGGAAUAGACGGGGGCCCGCACAAGCGGAGGAACAUGUGGUUUAAUUCGAUGAUACGCGAGGAACCUUACCCGGGAUUGAAAUGUAGAUGACGGAUGGUGAAAACCGUCUUCCCUUCGGGGCGUCUAUGUAGGUGCUGCAUGGUUGUCGUCAGCUCGUGCCGUGAGGUGUCGGUUUAAGUUCCAUAACGAGCGCAACCCACAUCGGUAGUUGCUAACAGUAUUCGCUGAGGACUCUACCGAGACUGCCGUCGUAAGGCGCGAGGAAGGUGUGGAUGACGUCAAAUCAGCACGGCCCUUACAUCCGGGGCGACACACGUGUUACAAUGGGAGGGACAAAGGGCAGAUACCGGGCGACCGGAUGCGAAUCUCUAAACCCUUCCCCAGUUCGGAUCGGAGUCUGCAACUCGACUCCGUGAAGCUGGAUUCGAUAGUAAUCGCGCAUCAGCCAUGGCGCGGUGAAUACGUUCCCGGACCUUGUACACACCGCCCGUCAAGCCAUGGGAGUCGGAAGGGGCCCGAAGGGCGUAACCGCCAAGGGGCGCAAUUAGGCCUCAUAUUAUUUAAAAGGGGAAUCUGC